UGCCCAGCAACUCCUAUCCCUACCUCCUAGUGGUACUGGCCGGGGUACGAGUAACCUUGGGGAAGAUCGGGUAACCAACCCCCGGUGGGAACUUUGGUCGUAUGCUGACAGGGAAGG
rnacentral:ribozyme from 1 species